rnacentral:rRNA from 1 species
CCUACGGGCGGCUGCAGUGGGGAAUAUUGCACAAUGGGCGCAAGCCUGAUGCAGCCAUGCCGCGUGUGUGAAGAAGGCCUUCGGGUUGUAAAGCACUUUCAGCGGGGAGGAAGGCGUUAAGGUUAAUAACCUUGUCGAUUGACGUUACCCGCAGAAGGAGCACCGGCUAACUCCGUGCCAGCAGCCGCGGUAAUACGGAGGGUGCAAGCGUUAAUCGGAAUUACUGGGCGUAAAGCGCACGCAGGCGGUCUGUCAAGUCGGAUGUGAAAUCCCCGGGCUCAACCUGGGAACUGCAUUCGAAACUGGCAGGCUAGAGUCUUGUAGAGGGGGGUAGAAUCCCAGGUGUAGCGGUGAAAUGCGUAGAGAUCUGGAGGAAUACCGGUGGCGAAGGCGGCCCCCUGGACAAAGACUGACGCUCAGGUGCGAAAGCGUGGGGAGCAAACAGGAUUAGAUACCCUUGUAGUC